rnacentral:rRNA from 1 species
GGAACGCUGGCGGCAUGCUACAACAUGCUAAUCGAACGAGACUUCGGUGUUAGUGGCGCACGGGUGCGUAACGCGUGGAUCUGCCCUUUGCUUCGGAAUAACAGUUAGAAAUGACUGCUAAUACCGGAUGAUGUCUUCGGACCAAAGAUUUAUCGGCAAAGGAUGAGCCCGCGUAGGAUUAGGUAGUUGGUGGGGUAAAGGCCUACCAAGCCGACGAUCCUUAGCUGGUCUGAGAGGAUGAUCAGCCACACUGGGACUGAGACACGGCCCAGACUCCUACGGGAGGCAGCAGUGGGGAAUAUUGGACAAUGGGGGCAACCCUGAUCCAGCGAUGCCGCGUGUGUGAAGAAGGCCUGAGGGUUGUAAAGCACUUUCAGCGGGGAGGAGGGCUGAUUGGUUAAGAGCUGAUGAGUUGGACGUUACCCGCAGAAGAAGCAACGGCUAACUCCGUGCCAGCAGCCGCGGUAAUACGGACGGUGCGAGCGUUAAUCGGAAUUACUGGGCGUAAAGGGUGCGUAGGUGGUUGAUUAAGUUAUGUGUAAAAUUCCUGCGCUCAACCU